UACGUAGGGUCCGAGCGUUGUCCGGAAUUACUGGGCGUAAAGAGCUCGUAGGUGGUUUGUCGCGUUGUUCGUGAAAACUCACAACUCAAUUGUGGGCGUGCGGGCGAUACGGGCAGACUAGAGUACUGCAGGGGAGACUGGAAUUCCUGGUGUAGCGGUGGAAUGCGCAGAUAUCAGGAGGAACACCGGUGGCGAAGGCGGGUCUCUGGGCAGUAACUGACGCUGAGGAGCGAAAGCGUGGGGAGCGAACAGG
rnacentral:rRNA from 1 species